GGAGGGAAGGGGGAGAGAAAGGUUAAUUUUCUUUCUGUGUUAGGAUUACUUUCUCUCUCAGGGAGAGUCUGGGAGGGGGGUUGAGAAGGAGGGGGGAAGGUGAAUUUUCCUCUCUGUUUAAGAUUCAAGGAGUUUGAAUCACAGUGAUCUUCCAGGGUAACCCAGCGAGGGGAAGCCUGGGAGAGGCAACGGUGAGGGAAAGGGUUUACUUUCCUUGUGUUAAGAUCCAGAGGGACUGGGUCUUGGGGGUCCCCGGGCAAGGUUUUGGGGGGACCAGAGUGUACCAGGCACUGGAAUUCCUGGUUGGUGGCAGCGCUACAAGUACUGAGCUGGUAAUUGAGCUUAGAGGAAUUCAUGCUGGUACCCCAUCUUUUGGACGCUAAGGUUCAGAGUGGGGAAUUAUACCAUGACAGUAUCUAUCAGCACUCAAAGCAGUCCAGCCAGCUGCAGCAUGCAGGGACCUUGGCAGACACUUUAGCACACUCCCCAUCCAUCAGCUUUUAAAAAUUAAAUUAAUACACCACAAGGCAGCAAAGCAAGAGCAGAGGAGAGAGAGAGUCUGUAGUGCAGUAGAGGCUCAAGGCAAUCUGAUUAUCUAUUGCUACCCAGUGCAGGAAACAAGCUGACAGACACACUUGACCUAGCAGAAUAACAACUCCCAUGGUCGAUUGCUUGUCCUGGUCACCCUCAUGCUAACCCCAGGUAACUCACCCAAGUUUCAGUUUAAGUGGUUACAUUUGUCCCUUUAAAGUUCCCCUCCCAGUUUCAACUGGAUACAGAGUUGUUCUCCACUUUGAAUCCUACACUCCUGCAAUGUUGCUAUGUGCUGUUAAACAGCCACUGUGUUCCACCCCAGAAGUAGCUGCAAUUCAUUGGUGGAUUAAGUCAUUCUAGCUUGGGACUCUCGGGAAUGAAAGGCACUAGGAAAAACUUCAGUGGAUUUAUCUAAGGACUUGUCUACUUUGAAAGUGGGCUAAGCUAAACAGGAACAAGACAUUCUUAUUCUGGGAUAAAAGUAUCCAGACAUGGGGUUAUUCCAGAAUAGCUGUUCCCAAACAAUUCAUGUGCGGACAAACCCAAGUACCUCAUGGACCGACACAGGCCAAAGCAUCAAGGGAGACAUAUUGUGCCUGCCUCUCCAAAACCAAACGUGGGUGUGUGAAAGCUGGCUGACCCCCCUUAAUAGAUUACAAGGGGCCAGUAGCUGGGAGGGGUGAGUACUGCUCAUGGACACAGUAGCCUGAACUUUUUCACUAUCUCUUUUCCUCUGCCUCAAAGCAGGAAGAUCCUGCUCCAAACCAGUCAGUACUACCCAGAUAAGGGGAACAUGAAAUUUUACACUUACCAAUCAAGUAUUAACACGCAAGGGUCUUUGUCUGAAUGUGUAUAAAAGGUUUGUGAAAUUUGUGUAAGACAGAGUCUUUUGUACCAAGGUACAGGCUCUCCUUUUUCUGCAGAAUAAAGCAUUUUUCCUUA